AGAAGUGGUAAACACUUAAAUACAGGAAGACACCAACUAAUCAAAGUAAACCCAUGUUUAGCUGAACUUUUACUGUCCGGGAUCUGUUUCUCAUCAUAAUCAAUAGCAUCAAAACACUUCUCCAGCACCUUUAUUAGAACCUGAGGAAAGCCCUCCUCCAACAAUAGCACCUUGGCACUAGGAUGUUCCAAUAUACUAGCAAUGAAGUCUAGAUAUCUGUAAACCUUAUAAGCAUCUACGUCUGAUGGAAAAGAUGAGUCAGAAACAUGAUUAUGGAUGGAGGAUAAUAUGGGCCGCAGAAGUAUGGAAGCAUUUUCAACUUUUUGGCUAGCAAUGCGGAUUACAAAAAGUCGAAGCAUGUCUUGGAUGACUACCAAUGCCGAUAUAGCAUAAUGCUGAAUAAUAUGCGCAAUUUUAUCAAGAUGUGGUGUCAAUUGGCUAAGAAGUUUCUCAAGGUGAAAAGGCUCCAAAUACCAGUUGACCUGCCUUUCCUUCUGUGGCCCCAAUAAUGUACCAACAGCCAAUGUUCUCAGUGCACUCAGCAAAGGCAUUCCAUUCUUCCAAAGCCAGAUACCUUCUUCAGGGAAUAAAUCAUUCAG
rnacentral:misc_RNA from 1 species